UCUCUGCCCUUGGACGCCGCCGAAGCAGCUUCGUUAAAGUCUCUCUUCUCCCCGCGAUCAUGUCUAAGUCAGAGUCUCCUAAAGAGCCGGAACAGCUGAGGAAGCUCUUCAUUGGAGGGUUGAGCUUUGAAACAACCUAUGAGAGCCUGAGGAGCCAUUUUGAGCAAUGGGGAACGCUCACAGACUGUGUGGUAAUGAAAGAUCCAAACACCAAGCGCUCCAGGGGCUUUGGGUUCGUCACGUAUGCAACUGUGGAGGAGGUGGAUGCAGCCAUGAAUGCAAGGCCACACAAAGUGGAUGGAAGAGUUGUGGAACCAAAGAGAGCUGUCUCAAGAGAAGAUUCUCAAAGACCAGGUGCCCACUUAACUGUGAAAAAAAUAUUCGUUGGUGGCAUUAAAGAAGACACUGAAGAACAUCACCUAAGAGAUUAUUUUGAACAGUAUGGAAAAAUUGAAGUGAUUGAAAUCAUGACGGACAGAGGCAGUGGCAAGAAAAGGGGCUUUGCCUUUGAAACCUUUGAUGACCAUGACUCUGUGGAUAAGAUUGUCAUUCAGAAACACCAUGCUGUGAAUGGCCACGCUGUGAAGUUAGGAAAGCCCUGUCAGAGCAAGAGAUGGAGAGUGCUUCAUCCAGCCAAAGAGGUCGAAGUGGUUCUGGAAACUUUGGUGGUGGUCGUGGAGAUGGUUUCGGUGGGAAUGACAACUUUGGUCAUGGAGGAAACUUCAGUGGUCAUGGUGGCUUUGGUGGCAGCCGUGGUGGUGGUGGAUAUGGUGGCAGUGGGGAUGGCUAUAAUGGAUUUGGUAAUGAUGGUGGUUUUGGAGGAGGCGGUCCUGGUUACUCUGGAGGAAGCAGAGGCUAUGGAAGUGGUGGACAGGGUUAUGGAAACCAGGGCAGUGGCUAUAGCUAUGACAGCUAUAACAACGGAGGCGGAGGCGGCUUUGGAGGUGGUAGUGGAGGCAAUUUUGGAGGUGGUGGAAGCCACAAUGAUUUUGGCAGUUACAACAAUCAGUCUUCAAAUUUUGGACCCAUGAAGGGAGGAAACUUUGGAGGCAGAAGCUCUGGCCCCUAUGGUGGUGGCGGCCAAUACUUUGCCAAAUCAUGAAACCAAGGUGGCUAUGGCAGUUCCAGUAGCCGCAGUAGCUAUGGCAGUGGCAGAAGAUUUUAAUUAGGAAACAAAGCUUAGCAGGAGAGGAGAGCCAGAGAAGUGACAGGGAAGCUACAGGUUACAACAGAUUUGUGAACUCAGCCAAGCACAGUGGUGGCAGGGCCUAGCUGCUACAAAGAAGACAUGAUUUAGACAAAUACUCAUGUGUAUGGGCAAAAAACUCAAGGACUGUAUUUGUGACUAAUUGUAUAACAGGUUAUUUUAGUUUUUGUUCUGUGGAAAGUGUAAAGCAUUCCAACAAAAGGUUUUAAUGUAGAUUUUUUCUUUUUUUUUUUUUGCACCCAUGCUGUUGAUUGCUAAAUGUAAUAGUCUGAUCGUGACACUGAAUAAAUGUCUUUUUUUUUAAUGUGCUGUGUACAGUUAGUCUACUCUGAAGCCAUCUUGGUAAAUUUCCCCAACAGUGUGAAGUUAGAAUUUCUUCAGGGUGAUACCAGGUUCUAUUUGGAAUUUAUAUACAACAUGCUUGGGUGGAGAAGCCAAUGUCUUCAGAAACCUUGGUGUAGUUGAACUAAUAGUAACUGUUGUGACCUGAAGUUCACGAUUAAAAGGGAUUACCCAAGCAAAAAUCAUGGAAUUAUUGGUUAUAAAGAUGAUUGUUUGCACAUCCUAUGCAAUAUAUCUAAAUUGAAUAAUGGUACCAGAUAAAAUUAUAGAUGGGAAUGAAGCUUGUGUAUCAUCCAUUAUCAUGUGUAAUCAAUAAAUGAUUUAAUUCUCUUGAAAAAAAUAAAGAACACAAGAAUCAUGAAAAAGCAAAGAAAUAUGAUGCUUCCAAAGGAACACAGUAACUCUCCAAUAACAGACCCCACAGAAAAGGAAAUCUAUGAAAUGUCCAAAAACGAAUUCAAAUUAAUGAUCUUUAGGAAACUCAGCAAGAUACAAGAGAACACAAAUAGGAAAUAGAAAGAGAUAAGGAAACAAUUAAUGAAAUUUUAAAAGGAAUACAUAUAAUUAAAAGGCAAAUAGAAAUUUCAAAACUGAAUAGUUCAAUGAAUAAAAUAAAAGUGCAGUUGAGAGCUUCAGCAAUAGACUGGAUCAAGCAGAAGAAUUUCUGAACUUGAAGACAAAUAUUUUGAAAUAGCCCAGUCAGACAAAAAAGAUAUAAAGUAACAAAAAAAGAAUAAAAGUAAUGAAGAAAACCUGCAUGACAUAUGGGACACCAUUAAAUGAACAAAUAUUUGCCUUUUGAGAGUUUUAGAAGACAUGGGAAAAGGCACAAAAACCAUAUUUAAUAAAAGAAUAGUUGAAAACGUCCUGAGUCUUGUGAGAGAUACAGACAUCCAGAUACAGGGAGCUCAAACAUUCCCAAAUAGAUUCAACCCAAAAAGGUCCUCUCCACAGCACAUUGUGGUUAAACUGUCAAAAGGGAGAGACAAAUAGAGAAUUCUAAAAACAGCAAGAGGAAAGUGUCAAGUGACAUAUAAGGGAAUCCCCAUCAGACUAACAGCAGAUUUUUCAGCAGAAACUUUACAAGACAGGAGAGAAUGGGAUGAUGUAUUCAAAGUGAUGAAAGGGAAAAAACCCCUGCUAGCCAGGAAUACUAUGCCGAGCAAAGCUAUCCUUCAUUAAUGAAGGAGAAGUAAAGUCUUUCUCUGACAAGCAAAAACUGAAUUUGCCCUACAAAUGCUUAAAGGAGUCCUACAUCUGGGAGUGAAAGGACAAUAUCUACCAUCCUGAAAACACACAAAAGUAUAAAACUCACUGGUAGAUCAGAUAUAUGAAUGAAAGAAAGAAAGGAAUCAGACAUUAUCAGUACAGAAAAUCACCAAAAAUAAAAAAUAAGAGAGAUGGAAAAGGACAAAUGAUAUGCAAAACAACAAAAUAACAGGAGCAAGUCUUCAUAUCUCUGUAACAAUCUAGAAUGUAAACAGUUUAAAUUUCCCAAUUAAAAUAUAUACACUAGCUAAAUGGAUAAAAAAGAUGUAACUACACACUGCUUUUAAGAAAUUCACUUCACUGGUAAAGAAACACAUAGACUGAAAUUGAAAAGAUGGAAAAACAUGUUUUAUGUAGAUGGAACCAAAGUACACAUGAGUAGUUACACUUAUAUCAGACAAAAUGGACUUUAAGUCAAAAAACAUGAGACAAAGUCAUUAUAAAAUUGUAAAGGAAUCAAUUUGGCAAGAGGACAUACAAUUGUAAAUAUAUAUGCACUCCACACUGGAGCACUCAGAUAUGUAAAGCAAAUGUUGUUAGAGCUAAAGAGAGAGAGGUAGGUGUCAAUAAAAUAAAAGGUAAGAACUUCAGCAGCCCAUUUCAGCUUUGGACAGAUUCUCUAGAUAAGAUCAACAAAGAAACAUUGGACUUAAACUGUUCUGUGGAUUAAACAGAUCUAAUAGACAUUAACAGAAUGUUUCAUCCAAUAGCAGCAGAAUAUACAUUUCAUCAGCACAUGAAACAUUCUCUGGGAUAGACUAUAUGUUAUGCCACAAAACAAAUCUCAAGAAAUUUUAACAAAUCAAAAUCAUGUUGAGUAUCUUCUCAGGCCACAAUAAAAUAAAACUAGAAAACAACAAGGGGAACUUCAGAAAUUGUUAAAAAUACAUGGAAAUUAAACAGUGUGUGCUCAAACUAGCAUGAAUCUAUGAAGCAAUAAGAAGAAAGUAAAUGUUUUUAAACAGAUGAGAAUAGAAACAAAACAUACCAAAACCUAUGGAAUAUAGCAAAAACAUUACUGAGAGAACUUUAUAGGAGUAAAUGCCAACAUCAAAAAGGAGAAAGAACUUGAAUAAACAAUCUCAAAAUGUUUCUCACAGAAGUAGAGCAGCAAGAACGACCCAAACUUAAAAUUAGUAGAAGGAAAGAAGUAAUACAGAUCAGAAUAAAACUAAAUAAAAUAGGGACAAAAAUACAAAAGAUUUACAAAUUGAAAGUUGUCUUUUUGAAAAGAAAAAGUCAACAAAUCACUAGCUAGGCUAAGAAAAAAGAGGGAAGAAAUAAAAUCAGAAAUAAAAAUGGAGGCAUUACAGCUGAUGCCACAGAAAUAAAAAAAGAUCAUUGAAAACUAUUGUAAACAACAAUACAUCAACGGACUGAGAAACCUAGAGGAAAUAAGAAAAUAGAUAAAUUCCCAGACACAUACAACCUACAAAGAUUGAACUAGGAAGAAAUAGAACACCUGGACAGACUAAUAAUGAGUAAUGAGAUUUAAUCAAAUCUCUUUUUCUUUAUAAAUUACCCAGUCUUGGGUAUUUCUUCAUAAUGAUAUGAAAAUGGACUAAUACAGUCAUAUAUUGUAUGAUAAUGAGUAAUGAGACUUAAUCUAACUUCUUUUUCUUUAUAAAUUAUUCAGUCAGGUAUUUCUUCAUAGCAAUAUGAAAAUGGACUAAUGCAGUCACAUCUGUAUAAUUAAAAGUUUCCCAACAAAGGAAAGCCCAGGCAGAAUGGUUGUAUUGCUGAAUUCUCCCAAACUGUUAAAGAAGAACUGACAUCAACUCUUCUCAAUCUAUUUUAAAAAAAUUGAAGAAGAGGGAAUUUUUCCUAACACAUUUCAAUAGGCCAGCAUUAUUCUUAUACCAAAGCCAAACAAAGGCACAACAAAAAAAGAAAAAGCAACAGGCUGUAUCCCUGAUGAACACACAAGCAAAAGUUCUCAACAAAAUAUUAGCAAACUGAAUCCAACAGCACACCAAAAAAAUAGUACACCAUGAUGAAGUGGGUUAUCCCAGGGAGGCAAGAAUGUUUCAACAGACGCAAGUCAAUAAAUGUGAUAUAUCACAUCAACAGAAUGACAGACAAAUGCAAUAUGAUCAUCUCAAUAGAUGCAGAAAAAGCAUUUGAUAAAAUUAAACAUCCAUUCAUAAUAAAAACUCUCUACAUAGGAACUUGGGAGUUUAGGAAUAGAAAGAACAUACCUGAAUUAUGUGUAGAAGGAAUGUACCUCAACACAAUAAAGUCAUGUAUGAGAAAUCCACUGUUAACAUCAUACUAAAUGAGGAUAUGCUGAAAACUUUUCCUCAAAGGACCAGAACAAGGAUGCCCACUCUCACCACUCUUCUUCAACAUAGUACUAUAAUUGGGCAAGAGAAAGAAAUAAGGAGGGUGUCCAAAUUGGAAAGAGGAAGUAAAAUUGUCUCUUUUUUUUUAUGGACGACAUGAUCUUUUAUACAGAAAACCCUAAAGACUUCACCAAAACAAACAAACAAAACAAACAAAAACUGCUAGAAAAAAUACUGAUAAAUUCAGUAAAGUUUCAGGACACAAAAUCAAAACAGAAAAAUUAGUAGUGUUUUUAUACAGCAAUUACCAACUCAUUAAAAAAGAAAUGUAGAAAAUAUUCUCAUUUACAAUAACUACAAAAAAAAAUAAAGUACAUAAAAUAAAUUUAACCAAGGAGGUGAAAGUUCUGUGCAAUGAGAACCACAAAACACUGAUGAAAGAAAUUGAAAGGGGACACAAACCAAUAGAAAGACAUUCCAGGCUCAAGGAUUAGAAAAAUUAAUACUGUUAGAGAGACGAUACUAUUCAAAGGGAUCUACAGAUUCAAUCUGAUCCCUAUCAAAAUACCAGUGACAUUCCUCACAGAAAUAGAAAAAGGAAUCCUAAAAUUUGUAUGGAACCACAAAAGAUCCUGAAUAACCAAAGCAAUCCUGAGCAAAAAGAACAUAACUGAAAGCAUCACACUAUCUGACUUCAAAAUAUACUACAAAGUUAUAAUAGCCAAAUCAGAAUGGUAUUGGUAUAAAAAUGAACACAGAGACCAAUGGAACAGAAUAAACAACCCAUAAACAAACCCAGGUAUAAAUAUUUACAGCCAACUGAUUUUUGGCAAAGGUGUCAAGCACAUACACUGGGGAAAUAACACCCUGUUUGAUAAAUGGUGCUGGGAAAGCUAGAUAUUCAUAUGCAGAGGAAUGAAACUAGACCCCAUCUCUUUAUAUAUAUAAAAAUAAACUCAAAAUAGAUUAAAGACAUAAAUGUUAGACCUGAAACUAUAAAACUGCUAGAAAAAAACAUAGGGGAAACACUCCAGGUCAUUGGUCUAGGCAAAAAUUUUAUGCCUGUGACUCUAAAACACCGAUAACAAAACCAAAAAUAGACAAAUGGGACCACACUAAACUAAAAAGCUUCUGCACAGCAAAGGAAGCAAUCAAGAGUGCAGGCAACCUAUAGAAUGAGAGAAAAUAUUUGCAAGCUUUACAUCUGGCAAUGUAGUAACAUCCAGAGUCUACAAGGAACUCAAACAACUCAAUAGUAAAAGACCCUAACAAUGUCAUUAAAAAGUGGGCAAAGGAUCUGAAUAGUCAUUUCUCAGAAAAGACAUACAAAAGAUCAGCAAGUAUAUGAAAAAAUGCUCCACAUCACUAGUCAUCAGGGCAAUGCUGUUUAUUGCAGCACUAUUCACAAUAGUUAAGAUAUGGAAUCAACCUAAAUGUUCAUCGACAGGUAAGUGGAUAAACAAAAUGUGGUAUAUAUACACAGUGGAAUUCUAUGCGUCCACAAAAGAGAAUGAAAUCCUGUCAUUUGCAGCAAUGCAAGUGAGCUUGGAGAUGAUUAUGUUAAGUGAAAUAAGUCAGAUGGAAAGAAAUACUGCAUAUUUUCAUUCAUAUGUAGGAGCUAAAAAAAGUUGAGUUCAUAAAAGUGAGUAGAGUUGUGGUUAUUAGAGGCUAGGAAGGGUUGGGAGAGGAUUAGAAGAGGUUGGCUAACAGAUGAAUUACUGCUAGAUAUGAGGAAUAGGCUUUAGUGCUUUAUAGCAUUGGGUGAAUAUAGUUAACAGUAACUAUAUUUUCAAAAGCUAGAAGAGAGGAUUUUAAUGUACCCAACAUAAAGAAAUGAUAGUUUUGAGGUGUGGACAUGCUAAUUACCCUACUUUUAUGAUUACACAUUGUAUACAUGUAUAGAAAUAUCACUCAUAGAUAUUUACUGUUAUUACAUGUCAACUAAAAAUAGAACGGAAAAAACCUGAAUUAGAGGAAAUAUAUACCAGAAGAAUGAUAUAUAUUUUGGUAUAUUUCAGAUAGUGUGGUUUUCAAAGGUGGAUCUUGAAGCCCAAUUCAUUUUAAUAGGUACUAAAAAUAGCUGGAAUCAAAAGAACCCACAAAAUCUUUUGGACUAAAGGUACUGGAAAUAUUUGAAUCAUAAUAAACCUCCUCAAAAGUCUUCAAUAGUGUGUACUGGCACUAUGUUAAUGGUUGAAUAAUGGCUACAUAGGGGAUGUACCAUUGCCUGCUUUUGUGUAGGUUUGAAAUUUUCCAAAAUUAAAAUAAAAAAAUAUUACCUAACCAUCAGGCCCUUUCAAUGAUUAUACUUAGCGGAGUGAAUAGAAUGAAGCAUCAAGAGCUGCCAGAAAAGGUAGUCCUGAGAUGCAGUGUGAAGGGCUUUGCAGGCCAGUCAGAAAGUUUUUGCGUAAUGAGAAGCCUUUCGAGGAUAUUAAGCAGGUGGUGUGUGUGUAUGAAUGUGAAUGUGUGUAGAUGUGAAUGUCUAUAUGGGAGUAUGUGUAAGUGUAUAUGUUAGGUGUGUGUGCAAGAGUAUAUGAGUUCAAGUGAAUGUGUAUAGGUUUCCUGCUCAUACAGUCAUGGAACUGGUGUGAAUAUCAUAGCUGUAGUUGAAAGGUAAUACUUGAAGUCUGAAUUUAGCCUCAGUCCUCUGGGUGGAGCUUAGGGUGGCCAGCUGUCCCAGGUUAUUCAGGACAGGGAAGUUUUCUGGGAUAUUGGAACUCUGAGUUUUAAAAAUCUGAGUGGUUAGUCACCUUAGUAGUGGCAGUGGAUAAAGGGUACAAAUUGUGAGUAGUUCUAUGUUUGAAUGGUGCUUGGUGGAUAAGGAAACAAAGAAAAAUCAGGCAGCUGAAUAGAUAUGGAAGUCAAGGGUGAAGAUCUUUAAAACAGAGGGAGUGUCCAGCAGUGCCCCACCCUUAAGGGGAUCUGAGUCGAUGGAGACUCAGGCCACAGGUUUGAGUUUUCAAAAUAUUAUUAACUUACUCAGAUUAGGACUUACCAGGCAUGUUUUUUGUUAUUUAGACUUCAGACAACAACAGCAACAACAACAAAUUUCUGCCAUUGGGUGCAAUUAAUACUAUUAGUGCCAAAAACAUAGAUUAGAAUGUAGACACAGGACUUGGUGAAACAACUCAUGAAAGAUAAAAUAUUAAGGCAAAGGUGUUUGAAUCACUUAACGAUUUGAUUAGAUAACAAAGAGGUUAAGGCCAUCUCUUGUAGUAUUUGGAGAUAUUUAAUUUUUAUUAUGUUAAGAUAAAUCUCACAUAAAGCUUAACAAAUCUUAGUCAACUCUUAUGAGUAGAGUGUGAGUGUUAGGUGGUGCUAUUCCACUGAGCAGUGAGAUGAGGGAAGAAUGGGCCUAUGGGGUCUUGGUACUUUCUGCAUAUCACGUUGCCACUCCCUCCCUGACAAGUAUUUCUAUCACUCAUCGUCUCAGCUGCACUCAGGGCUGCCAGCCAUAAUCUAUUAUCCAGCUACUGGUUUGAAUAAAUCAAUGAUUUAUUUGCAGUCUCCUAGAGCUGUAGGCAGGAAAUGCAAACAGCAGCUUUCCCUCGGGAGGGCUGAAUGUAAUGGGACCCUUUUCUGUUUUGCAUCCUCAGGCUCUGAUGGGAAUCUCUGAGGAUGCUCAGUGGAAAAUUUCUUUUCCUCUCAGCCCUGAUCUCUCCUGAAUGGCUCAGUAAGACUGAAGGAAAAGGAUUCUGUCCUGAGUUCUCUUCUCGCCAUGGUGAAGGAAAUAGGGAAGGAAGAUCAGGAUUAAAAAAUUGUUUUUAGAGGAUAGGAGUUUUAAUUGUGGACAUUUAAGGUUUAGGGUACAUUCCUGACUCCACAGUACAUAGACUUCCACUCAGGAAUUUUCCACAUUGUAAUUUAAUCCAGUAUCCUUUUCCAGCCUGUGUACUCUUGGGAGGGUGAAAUUUUUGUUGAGUUGAUCUUUGUUUACUAAAAAUGCAUUAAGACAUACAUUUUUCUUGAAUGUAUAGAUGCACUCAUUUUGUAUGGUGGUUUGCAGUUUGUCAUAGACAUAUUAUUUUGAGUCUCACAGCAGCCCUAUGAAGUGGAUGUUGUGAUUAUUUCUGCUUUCCAGAUGGGGAAACUGAGGCUCAGAGAGGUUUAGUGACUUUCCCAAGAUCACACAGAAUGGGGACUGAAGUCUAGGUCUUUGACACCAAGUGUAGGUUCUUUCUACACACCACACUAACUCUAAGCCUUUCCCAUCAUCAUACAAUGAACCAGUCUUUUGCUUAGUCAUCUAAAAAGAACACGCAAAUACAAACAUUGCCCUGCUGGAUCAAAUCCACAAGGAGAACCACAGCCUAGUGUUCAGCCUCAACGGAGAUGGUUUAUAGAGGCACGACUAUUUCAAGCUCAUUUCAAACUCAUUGUUAUCAAAUGAGUAGCUUCAGGGUCAUAGUUUUCAAAGCCUUAGAUAGAAACAAAUUUGGGGCUAUGUGUCUGUCCUUAACAGGUGGAAGACAGGGGACUAGAACAUUUAGCUUUUUGAGCUUUUUGUUUAUUUAUUUAUUUAUUUAUUCAAAGAACUAGCGGAUUGUGUUUUAAAGAUUUCACAGGGACAGAAAAACUGGAGAAAUUGAAAGUGGCAAAAAUACUGGAGAAGUUGCCACGUUCAAAACACGGCACAAGUUUCCACAAUCAGUAUCCCUGGUUUUGCAAUGAAGUGUGACUGGGGCCUCGGGCAUGCUGUGCCUUCAGGAGCUGAAGAACAUGCCUGAGUGAAGGGGCUGCAACUGCAGCCUGGGAGAAAAUCUGAUCCACUCAUUCGUUUUGUUUUGUGUAGCCCACGAUCCACUCAACCAAAAUUUCACCCUCCGAGAAUGCACACCUAGGAAAAUUGGACAUAGCCAUGCUCCAACAGAAUUUCAUAUCAUGAAAUAUUAAUUUUUUUCAACCACUUAAAAAUGCAAGAAGCAUUUACUAAACAUGUAUUUUUAAAUGGUUGAAAAAAUUAAAAUAAUAUUUUAUAAUGUGAAAAUUAUUUGAAAUUCAAAUUUCGGCCUCCAUACACAAAAUUUUGGUGGAGCACACCCAUGUCCGUUCAUUUGUUUUUUUGAAUCUGGUGGCUUUUGUUCUGCAACAGAAGAGCUGGACUCUUCUGGCAGGGACUGCAUGUGGCCGAUAAAGCCUAAAUUAUUUACUCUCUGAUCCUUCACAGAAAAAGUUUGCUGGCCCCUAACCUAGUGCCCUGCUCGGUUCAAAUUGACACUCAAAUAACUGUUGGGGAGCUAAACUGUGGAAUACUGCAUGUCUUACAUUUCUGACAUUGUCAGGAAGGGAACAGGAAAACAAUUCUUAAGGCCACCCUAUACUUUUCACCUGCCACUUGGAUUGAACUACUGGAUCUGUGGCCACGUUCUGCCACCAGGCUUAUGGGACUAUAAAGGCUGAGCUUUCUGUGUGCAUCUGGCCCAAUCUAGUUUGGCCUUUUCAUAUCUGGCCUGCUUUAAAUAACCUGAUUCUAGAUGCCUCUCAGUCUCACUGUCCUACCCUUUAGAAUACUAACAGCUAGCCAGGUGCGGUGGCCAGGAGCUGAGCAAAACAGAUGCUAACUUACUCUGGCCUCUUUCUUUUCUCUUUCUGCUUCCUGCCCACUUCACUCUUUUCCCUGCAUUCUUUCUUUCCUCUCUGCUCACUUUGUUCCCUUUCAUUUGGAGAAAUAAAGCAUUCAGGCCAGGUGCAGUGGCUCAUGCCUGUAAUCCCAGCAUUUUAGAAGGCUGAGGUGGGUGGAUCAUGAGGUCAGGUAUUCAAGACCAGCCUGGCCAAGAUGGUGAAACCCCAUCUCUACUAAAAGUACAAAAAAAUUAGCUGGGCGCAGUGGCAGGUGCCUGUAAUCCCAGCUACUUGGGAGGCUGAGGAAGAAGAAUCGCUUGAUGCUCCCACCUGGGUGGUAGAGGUUGCAGUGAGCCGAGAUCACGCCACUGCACUCCAGCCUAGGCAACAGAGUGAGACUCUGUCUCAAAAAAAAAAAAAAAAAAAUAGCAUUCAGUUACCUUUGCAUAUCCAUGUGCCAUCCUAUAACUCAUCUCUAUCUCCAAACAUCCUUUCUAGACUAUUGGUUUUUACCCAUUCCCUCCCUUUUGGCAUCAUCUUCUAGAACCCCUGGGAUCAGGAUGUCACCCUAUCACUCCACUGAUAAUAGCACACAUGGCCUUUUUUUAGUCAAAUCCAAAGCCUUUUUCUUCAGCCUUUACUUUCGUUGGAACAUCCACAGCACUUGAUAAUUUCCAGCAGCCUUUCUUUCCUGCUCUUCUUCCUCUGUAGCUACUCUGGUUUCCCUUCUACCCUUUGCACUGAUUGCUGUGCUCUGCUUCACCAGCCCUAACUCUACGUUAGUCGGGUGUCUUAAGUAGGAUGAUCAUGUAAUUCUUCAUCCAGACCAUGAUAUUCUUGAGAAUUAAAGGGUGCUCAAUUAACAACAGACAAUAAACAGAGAUUGGCCUUGGCAUCUGGCCACCCUCUCCUUAAGGCUCAGGGGAAAAUAAAGUGGAGAGAUCUCAGGGCAAGAUGUGAAUGAACAUAGUUCAAGUCACUUUCAAUGUCCAUCUUCAGGUUUCUUGGUUAUUUCUGUUUAGAAUCUCAGGUUAAAAAUUCAGCUUCAUAUUCAUAAAAGGGUCAAGUUAUCUGAGAAAUGUCAGAGCAGGUUUGGGAGAAAAGAGAGGGUGAGGAGAGAGUUCUACCUGAGGAAAAGGCAGAGGUGGUUGGACCAGGUCCUGCAGUCCUCCCUGAGUUCGUCACAGAGUCUGCCCUUUUAGGUAAAGAGGAACUUGGUGCUGAAACCGCUUCCAGGCUCUUUUCAGCCCAGGGUUGCCCAAGAUCAGUUGUACUGAGUGGCCUGCAGGGUAGGCAGCCAUGAUGAUCUUGCACAAAAUAUUCCAGGAACUGUAAGUGUCAAAAAUGUUGGACAUGGAAAGAAAUAGAGCAGUUGCAUUGAAAACGUAGAGGAUGAGAAAGUAGCUGGUGGCUUUGAUGGCCCCUAUGUGAGCCUUCAUGCUGGGGUCCCCGGACCCUGUGGCAUUGCUUCCCAUGUGUAGGGUGUGUCUCUUGAGAGAGAGGAUCAGCAGGGUGGCUGCCAGGGUGAACAUGAUCAGAGGAAUGAAGAGCCCCAUGUUAUAGAAAAAAACCAGGUUGACCAUAUUGGUUUCAGAGAAGUACUUCUUCUCUGUGGAGUUGGAGGAGGGGAUAGGAAUGGAGCUAUUCACAUACACGUUGAAGACAUCUUUAGAGAAUGGAAUGCUGAAGCCUAAGGAAACCAGCACUGACAGCCUCAGAAGCCAAGGCAUCAGCACUAUGAUUUUCCUCUUCAUCAGGAAGAACAAAGGGUGAUUGAAGUUUGCAAUUCUAAGACAAUAGAAGACAUUGAGCCAGGCAGCAAACCAGAGGUUGGAAUGGUUCAGAAAGACAAUGAUGACUUUGAAGAGGGUAUACACUGUGUUUUGGUUAUAAACAAUUCGGAAUAGCAGACUGAAAAUGUUCUCCAGCAUCAUCCAAAUCUGUAGCAAGACCCUGGAAAUGCUCAGCAUCAACAUAAUGCAGUCACCAGUGGGGAGUGUUUUGCCCCUGGCCCACUCAGCCCCAUAGAUGGCCGUGAUGAAGCCACUCCCAAGGAUGCCAAUGAUGCACUGUAUUCCGGAGACCACCAAGGUGAAGGUGACCUUGAACCUGGAGAUGUCUUUAUCUGUGGCAUCUGUGUUCACCGUUGCCAUUCUCUGUGAUCUCGACUUUCAGGUUUCUGUGCCAAGACUGCUCUGCAAUCUUCUGACCCUCGCUCAAUGUUUUUAUAAUUUUCGCUCCCCUCGUUAAUGGUUAUUUACAAUUUUUCUCAAUUUGUUUAUCACAUGACUACAAGUUAGAGCCUUCACAUGCAAAUGAUGAGAGGAUCUGGUUACUGGCUCUGUCUCAAUUUUUCAUAAAGAUACAUUUGUCUUGGACUUUCAGAAGCUCACUGGAAAUAGUUUGGGACAUGUUUCUAGCUCAACACCUUCCUAUCUUACUUACUUUAAGUCCACAUUUUCCUGAUGAGGCAUGAAUAGUAGGCUUUUUUACUUGUCUCACAAGAUCUCUGUUACCUGCUAAAUUAUCUGUAAAAGCUCAUACAGCUUUUAAAAUUCCUUUUCCCCACUUCUUUUCUUGUCUCUCUUACUUUGGAAGAGAUUUUUAUUUUGAUAGUUACCAUGUUUGUGAAUAAAAGAUUCCCAUAAGCUCAUAUAUGAAUAUCUUUUACUUAGAAUUGAGUUUCUUCCAAGAAGGCCUGCUAUUAUAAUGUUCUCAGAUAGUGUACAGAACAGCCAAAAUUGGAUGCUAUUUGAGUUGGAGACAAGGAAGUCUCCAUAGUCCCAGUUUUCAUUGUGUACAUGUCAUCAGUUUCAGCUGACUGAGAUCCACAUGACUAUUUGAGCUCAGAAUCAGGUAGAAUGAGCCUGGGGAGAAUUCAGUGUUCUGGACAUGGUGUUGAAGUUCAGAAAUGUGAUAAGGUACUAUAGCUUGAAAUUUAAUUUCCUACUUUUUAAUUCUGGCUGUGAACCAGAAUGAACUCUGACAGUUUACAAGAAUAUAUAGGACUCAUCCAAAUCUAGGAAAUCAGAAUUUGAACUAGGGCUCAGGCAUGCUAUCUUUUAAAAAAGCCAAAAGGUCUUGUUGCUCAUAGUCAGGAUUGAGAACCAAACUCUUAGCUAGAAACCAAUGAGCCUUGGGUCAGAUUUGGCCUGUAGUCAUUUUACCUUGCAUUGGCUAAUGCCAUACAGCAUUAAUCCACCAGUGCACAACUUUUUUUUUUUUUGAAGUGUUUUAUUGGCCAACAUUUAAACUUAGGAGAUUACUUAUAUGUACACACAAAAAAAUCUAUCUUCUCUUGAAAAAUUAGAAGAUUUGGCAGUAUUGGGUCUUCAUAAUCAAUUGGUCGAAGCUCAGUAGUGGCUGCCCAUUUUAAACAAGGUAUAUACUUUUCAGUUUGUUGACAAUACUAAUUCCUAGUGUCUUCUUGACACAGAAGCAGAGUGCCAGUUAUCAUUUUUCAGUGUGCUUGCCCUGUUAUUUCUGUUCGAUCUUUUUUUUUUUCUUUUUGAGACUUGGUCUCACUCUGUCAUUCAGGCUGGAGAGCAGUGGCAUAAUCAUGGCUCACUGCAGCCUUGACCUCCAUGGCUCAGGUGCUCUCCACACUUCAGCCACCCAAGUAGCUGGGACUACAGGUGCAUACCACCACACCUGACUAAUUUUUGUAUUUUUUGUAGAGACAGGGUUUCACCAUGUUGUCCGGGCUGAUCUUGAGCUCCUGGGCUCAAGCAAUCUUCCCACCUCAGCCUCC